AUUGAACGCUGGCGGCAGGCCUAACACAUGCAAGUCGAGCGGAUGAAGGGAGCUUGCUCCUGGAUUCAGCGGCGGACGGGUGAGUAAUGCCUAGGAAUCUGCCUGGUAGUGGGGGAUAACGUCCGGAAACGGGCGCUAAUACCGCAUACGUCCUGAGGGAGAAAGUGGGGGAUCUUCGGACCUCACGCUAUCAGAUGAGCCUAGGUCGGAUUAGCUAGUUGGUGGGGUAAAGGCCUACCAAGGCGACGAUCCGUAACUGGUCUGAGAGGAUGAUCAGUCACACUGGAACUGAGACACGGUCCAGACUCCUACGGGAGGCAGCAGUGGGGAAUAUUGGACAAUGGGCGAAAGCCUGAUCCAGCCAUGCCGCGUGUGUGAAGAAGGUCUUCGGAUAGUAAAGCACUUUAAGUUGGGAGGAAGGGCAGUAAGUUAAUACCUUGCUGUUUUGACGUUACCAACAGAAUAAGCACCGGCUAACCUCGUG
rnacentral:rRNA from 1 species